AUACGUAGGGGGCAAGCGUUAUCCGGAUUUACUGGGUGUAAAGGGAGCGUAGACGGCGAAGCAAGUCUGAAGUGAAAGGACGGGGCCCAACCCCGGAACUGCUUUGGAAACUGUUUGGCUGGAGUGCGGGAGGGGUAAGCGGAAUUCCUAGUGUAGCGGUGAAAUGCGUAGAUAUUAGGAGGAACACCGGUGGCGAAGGCGGCUUACUGGACCGUAACGGACGUUGAGGCUCGAAGGCGUGGGGAGCAAACAGGAUUAGAUACCCUGGUAGUCCACGCGGUAAACGAUGAUCACUAGGUGUCCGUGGGUAUGACCCAUGGGUGCCGCAGCCAACGCAAUAAGUGAUCCACCUGGGGAGUACGUUCGCAAGAAUGAAACUCAAAGGAAUUGACGGGG
rnacentral:rRNA from 1 species